rnacentral:rRNA from 1 species
UACGUAGGGUGCAAGCGUUGUCCGGAAUUAUUGGGCGUAAAGAGCUCGUAGGCGGUUUGUCGCGUCGAAUGUGAAAACCCAGGGCUCAACCCCGGGCCUGCAUUCGAUACGGGCAGACUAGAGUUCGGUAGGGGAGUCUGGAAUUCCUGGUGUAGCGGUGAAAUGCGCAGAUAUCAGGAGGAACACCGGUGGCGAAGGCGGGUCUCUGGGCCGAUAUUGACGCUGAGGAGCGAAAGCGUGGGGAGCGAACAGG